rnacentral:rRNA from 1 species
GAUGAACGCUAGCUACAGGCUUAACACAUGCAAGUCGCGGGGCAGCAUGGGGGUUGCUUGCAACCCCUGAUGGCGACCGGCGCACGGGUGAGUAACGCGUAUCCAACCUGCCCUUCACCACGGGAUAACCCGGCGAAAGUCGGACUAAUACCGUAUGUUGUCCAUUGACGGCAUCCGAUUUGGACGAAAGGCUUAGCGGUGAGGGAUGGGCAUGCGUCCGAUUAGCUCGACGGCGGGGUAACGGCCCACCGUGGCAACGAUCGGUAGGGGUUCUGAGAGGAAGGUCCCCCACACUGGAACUGAGACACGGUCCAGACUCCUACGGGAGGCAGCAGUGAGGAAUAUUGGUCAAUGGGCGGAAGCCUGAACCAGCCAAGUAGCGUGCAGGAUGACGGCCCUAUGGGUUGUAAACUGCUUUUAUGCGGGGAUAAAGGAGCCCAC